rnacentral:rRNA from 1 species
GAUGAACGCUAGCGGGAGGCCUAACACAUGCAAGCCGAGCGGUAGAAUCUUUUCGGAGAUUUGAGAGCGGCGUACGGGUGAGGAACACGUGUGCAACCUGCCUUUAUCUGGGAGAUAGCCUUUCGAAAGGAAGAUUAAUAUCCCAUAAUAUAUUGAGUGGCAUCACUUAAUAUUGAAAGCUCCGGCGGAUAGAGAUGGGCACGCGCAAGAUUAGAUAGUUGGUGAGGCAACGGCUCACCAAGUCUACGAUCUUUAGGGGGCCUGAGAGGGCGAACCCCCACACUGGUACUUAGACACGGACAAGACUCCUACGGGAGGCAGCAGUGAGGAAUAUUGGACAAUGGGUGCAAGCCUGAUCCAGCCAUCCCGCGUGAAGGAUUAAGGUCCUAUGGAUUGUAAACUUCUUUUAUACAGGGAUAAACCUCUCCUCGUGAGGAGAGCUGAAGGUACUGUAUGAAUAAGCACCGGCUAACUCCGUGCCAGCCGCCGCAGUAA